CGGGGAGGUAGUGACGAAAAAUAACGAUACGGGACUCAUCCGAGGCCCCGUAAUCGGAAUGAGUACACUUUAAAUCCUUUAACAAGGACCAAUUGGAGGGCAAGUCUGGUGCCAGCAGCCGCGGUAAUUCCAGCUCCAAUAGCGUAUAUUAAAGUUGUUGCGGUUAAAAAGCUCGUAGUUGAAUCUGUGUGUCACAGUGUCGGUUCACCGCUCGCGGUGUCUAACUGGCAUUAUGUGGUACGUCCUACCGGUGGGCUUAGCUCCUUGCGGGCGGUCCAACUAAUCUCCCAUCGCGGUGCUCUUCACUGAGUGUCGAGGUGGGCCGGUACGUUUACUUUGAACAAAUUAGAGUGCUCAAAGCAGGCUACCUUCGCCUGAAUACUGCGUGCAUGGAAUAAUGGAAUAGGACCUCGGUUCUAUUUUGUUGGUUUUCGGAACCCCGAGGUAAUGAUUAAUAGGGACAGAUGGGGGCAUUCGUAUUGCGACGUUAGAGGUGAAAUUCUUGGAUCGUCGCAAGACGGACUAAAGCGAAAGCAUUUGCCAAAAAUGUUUUCAUUAAUCAAGAACGAAAGUUAGAGGUUCGAAGGCGAUCAGAUACCGCCCUAGUUCUAACCAUAAACGAUGCCAGCUAGCGAUCCGCCGAAGUUCCUCCGAUGACUCGGCGGGCAGCUUCCGGGAAACCAAAGCUUUUGGGUUCCGGGGGAAGUAUGGUUGCAAAACUGAAACUUAAAGGAAUUGACGGAAGGGCACCACCAGGAGUGGAGCCUGCGGCUUAAUUUGACUC
rnacentral:rRNA from 1 species